rnacentral:rRNA from 1 species
AACGAACGCUGGCGGCAUGCCUAAUACAUGCAAGUCGAACGAGAUCUUCGGAUCUAGUGGCGCACGGGUGCGUAACGCGUGGGAAUCUGCCCUUGGGUUCGGAAUAACUUCUGGAAACGGAAGCUAAUACCGGAUGAUGACGUAAGUCCAAAGAUUUAUCGCCCAAGGAUGAGCCCGCGUAGGAUUAGCUAGUUGGUGGGGUAAAGGCCCACCAAGGCGACGAGCCUUAGCUGGUCUGAGAGGAUGAUCAGCCACACUGGGACUGAGACACGGCCCAGACGCCUACGGGAGGCAGCAGUAGGGAAUAUUGGACGAUGGGCGAGAGACUGAUCCAGCCAUGCCGCGUGAGUGAUGAAGGCCUUAGGGUUGUAAAGCUCUUUUACCCGGGAUGAUAAUGACGGUACCGGGAGAAUAAGCUCCGGCUAACUCCGUG